rnacentral:rRNA from 1 species
AUUGAACGCUGGCGGCAGGCCUAACACAUGCAAGUCGAGCGAGCGGCGGACGGGUGAGUAAUGUAUGGGAAACUGCCUGAUGGCGGGGGAUAACUACUGGAAACGGUAGCUAAUACCGCAUACCAUCAGAUGUGCCCAGAUGGGAUUAGCUAGUAGGUGGGGUAAUGGCUUACCUAGGCGACGAUCCCUAGCUGGACUGAGGGGAUGACCAGCCACACUGGAACUGAGACACGGUCCAGACUCCUACGUGAGGCAGCAGUGGGGAAUAGUGCACAAUGGGCGCAAGCCUGAUGGAGCCAUGCCGCGUGUGUGAAGAAGGCCUUCGGGUUGUAAAGCACUUUCAGCGGGGAGGCGUUACUCACAGAAGAAGCACCGGCUAACUCCGUGCCAGCAGCCGCGGUAAUAC